CAGUGGGGAUUGGAUAAUCGGGGCCCACCCUCAGGCCUGGAGGCUGCGAGCCCCUGUGCAGGGUCAUUUCCUGCGAGGGGAGAGCCCGAAGGAACAGGUGCGACGGGAACCCAACAGCUGGUGUCUCAGAGAAAUCUGAAAUUAAUUCAGAGGCGAAGUCAGCCACGCUGGGAAGGGGGCCUUGCUGGCCUGCACCGUGGAUGGUUCCCCGGUCUCUGAAGAUGGCCAGUUCCCCAGGGUGGUCUGUCUGCACCGCCUCCAACUCUCAGGAAGCCUCGUUUGGAGCUGCCAGGAAAACCUCUGGCUCUGGGAGGCCCAGAAACGAAUGAGAGCGUCUCAGGAGCGCUGGGCUGGUGCCGGCUUCGCCAGCCACGCCACGAAGCCAGGUGGGGAGACAGACCCACCAGCCACAGCUGUCACUGGGCCACAUGGAGAAGUGGCAUGCCAGCUGAGGCCAGUCGGGGAGGCCUGUCUCCGUGAUAAACACCUGCCCCUCAUCCUGCACGCUGGCUGUCCACGGGAUGAGUGGGGACCCGGGGGCCAACCAGGCUGGUUCCAGCCCUGGCUUCUCUCCUGACUCCCUUGGACGAGUCCCCUCCCUUCUUUGAGCCUCAGUUUCUCCAUCUGAACAAUGGAGUCCCGAUCCUGAGAUUGCAGGUCUGUUGGGAGACUCGGAUACAGCACCGGGUGGUCUGCGCGUGGCAUGGGGGGACUCGGGGGCCACUGCCCUGGCUGUGAUUCCUGCCUCACUCUGCCCAGCCCCAGGAGAGGUUCAGUGAAGCGCUACAAGCCCUUGGGGUUAGCAUGAGGUGUCCAGCCCCACAGCACAACAGAUGCUUUUUUUCUUUCACCUUCACCUUGUUUGGAGAAAAUAAUACUUCUAUGAACAUGCAUGCACAGGCUUUUAUGUGGAUGUGUGUCUUUAUUUUCUUCUUUUUAUAAUAAUAAUUAUUAUUUUAAUCAAAACA